AGAAUAUUUGUAUUUCCGAUAAGAUAGAAUAUUUGAAUACCGCGAUGCUGCUCGGUAAUUUUGUCGGAGAUGCGGAAACGGAAAAAAAUAUUGCUAACACUCGCUCGCGUCGUUGAAUCUUCUUUGCCCUUUGUACUUUUGCUCUCCGGAUCGAUCGGCGAUCGUAACCGGUUUGAUCGAUCGACGAGGUCCCCGUAACGAACUAUUUGCCGAUAAUUACGGCGAAAGUUUAGCAUUACUUGAUGGCGGGGUAUCGAGUCGAAUGGUUAAUUAGCCUCCGUGGUUACGGCAUCGGUACAAUGAUAAUUGCUGUGUGUCGCUACAGGCGCGCGAUUAAUCGCGUGACUGCUUCUUUCUACGGGAAAAGGGUCUCUCACUUCGUCGCAUUUUUAUCAAGAACCUUUCGCAAUCGCGAUAAUUGCUCGACUAAUGGACACAAGGUCACGCCGCGCGAACGGGCGGACAAUGCUAAGUAACGAUCUUCCAAUCGAUUCUGAUGUACGCGAAUUGCGUCACAUCGAGUAAACGCGAACAUCGCCGCCGUCGCCGUCGCCGUCGCCGCCGCCGCCGCCGCAUCGUUCCUCAUGUCGACUUUUACGAGUGUCUCGCCACGGAGAAACUAGAAGCGCCGCUAGUCGCCGUCGCCGAAAGUCAGCGAAAGGUUUCACCCUCCGCGCGGAAUUUCGAUCGGCUAAUCGGCGGAUUCUGCUCGCCGAUCACGCCAGGCGCUUCCUCUUAUAUCCUGCGCGAUGCUCAAGGCAAGCAAGUCAGCUCCGUCAGCCGUCAGCCGGGUGCGAAUCUAAGACUUGGAAUCGGAUCGUCCUUCACCGACGUCGGCAUCCUCGGGACGAGGCGGGCGCGAUCGUCGUGAUCGAGCUGCUCCUGUUUAUAGCGGCGGCGAUAAUGGCGGCUGCACCCUUCCGAGAAGGAACCGCAUAGUGCACUUACAUGCGCUUCCCAAAGGUCAUCAUCGACGACGACGACACGAUGACGACGACGAUGACGAUGAAGAGGAACCGUACCUCGUAUAUAGUACUCACCUCUCGGAAGACUCAAGCUACCGAGCCGGAGCACCCAUUCACUCUCGGCUUGUCAGCCGGGGAGAGCAUCGUUGGUGUAACCGUGAAGAUCGCGAUAAAACAUCGCGACGGCUAUCGCUGAUAGACCGUGAGCCAGCCGUCUUCACCCCAAUCAACGGAACAACGGAACGAUCGCGCAACGCAGAAUCCCGCGGAGGCACAGAUAGGAAACUACAACAAAAUAAUAUUACUAUAUUCAGAGUUUAUACUCUGGCAAAAUAGGAAAUCAUGCGAGGGCGAAGGAAAGAUAAUACAACGUCAAACGAAGAAUUGAAGCGAUAUCUGACGAGUCUGAAACAACCUGUACCAUUGAUUCCCGCGAGAAACAUUCAUCAUGUUACCCAUAGAAACAGUCCGAGCGAGGAGAGAUAUGAAAAUGAAGUAACAGACACGGAAUGGACAAUAUCCAUUAAUGACGGCGGAAUGCGGUUCUAGCGCAAGUCGUAACGGAAAUCGACGAGCUAUUCCAAUUAUGCGUGCCGCGAAAACAGCACGUCGUGACGUUCAAUCGCGAUGAUGUAACACGGUGGUCUCGUGUAUUUUCCGCUUAUUCGCAACGCGAUCGAAGCGAGCACAAAUUGGCGAGUAAUUAAGUUUAGCGUCUCAUGCACGCGAAGAAAUUGAUUCUCACCAGGCGAAUCACUCAUCGAACGAUGACAGCAGCAUUUUCGUUCCUUCAGAUACGAGGUACAAGCACUCAAUCCGAAUCCUUCAGUUAACAACGCAAUUAAGAGGCACGAUCGACUGCGCGGCGAUUGUAUCGUUACGCCGCCGAAACGGAGCGCAACAAGACAAAAAUGAUCGCGAUCGCCUCUCGCGAGAGCGCCUGCUCCUCUCAACCCCGCGCGAGGCGUAGAAAUCUCCGAUCCGCUCUUCUUCCUUUCUUCCAUUUUUUGCUGCGUCGCCGAGUUGCGUCAAGACCGCGACACGUAAGAGCUGCCGAGAGACCGCAGCUUUUUUUUCCCGCCAUCGACCUCCGACGCAGGCUAUUCUUUCGAAAUAGUGCGAUCGCGUGCACGAGGUCGUAAGAAGGAGAGCGGAGGGAGAGGCACACGCUUCUGGUUCUGCACAAUCUCUUUAUUACAUGUCGCUCUUCAAUAACGACCCUCGACACACUUCCGCGAUACGUUGUCGAAGAGCGAUCGAGUUCGCGCGCCGCCGUCGGACGGAGCAGCGAUCAUGGCUAAUUUGCGCAAGCUAUUAGCAAAAUGAAUCGAGGCUGCAAACAUAUUUUCCUCUUUCAGAUUUCGGCAACAGAGAUAUGAGAUAAUAAUAGUCUGCCGAAUCUGGGAAUCUGCUCACCUUCAAAGGACGGCGCCACCGAUAAGAUCUGACUCUGAAAUCGUCCGACUGUAAGCGACCGGCGAUUAAUCGCGAAGGACGCCGGGGCUAGUCGCUCGCCGCCUGCCUUCCAAUUAUUGCGGGACGCUCAUGGAAUUCGAUACACCUCGGGUCCUCAAGCCCAAACUAGUUCGAGGAGUUCUCGCGCUGGUGAACCUCACCUCUGGCAUAACACGAGCAGCCGAGGUAGAUGAGCGCGCGGAUAGCGUGCUGAAAGGGCUGGGUCUGCCCGAGGAAUAUCGGUGACUCGAUUCUCUUAGAAAGCGCCGACGGAGUGGGGCUUGCGAUGUCCCGAUACGGUUGCCGUAUCCUAUUAUCGAACUCGUAGCUCACGAUCGGCAUGAUUUUUCCGCAGCCGCACCCCUGCAUCCAAUCUGACACUUGUGCGGAAUAUAGCCGUUCAACCUCGGGAAUCGGGCCACUGCUCAUCGCGCUUCCCUCCACAUACAUACGGCGCACCGAAUUCGCCGCACCGAAAGUCGCACCGAUGUAACAGCAGAACAUCAUAGAUCUUAGAUCUCUAAAUAUGGACCCGAAGAUUCGACCGCUCUGAUCGAGAAUCGAGGCGCGUGUACGUCGCCACCAGGUCUUUCUCUCCGUCCAAGUGAACGCGUUGCCUAUUGGGAUGCGCGAUCAUCUCGACGAGGCGUUUACGUGCUGAAGCGCGAGUACGGUGACCCAAAGGUGGAUCGUUAACCGAGGCGAGUUACGUGCCGAUCGGCAAUACCUGACGAUACCUCAAGUGCGCCUCGGUGGCCGUGCACUCUUCAUGGAACUGCUUAUGACGCUAAAUUAUACGCACAAAUCGCAAGCGCUUUGUAAAUGUGUAACGCUCUUUCGUCGGGGAUCGUAAACGCGAGUCUUGUACUCGUCCUUACGAUGAGCGCCAACCUAUGAUUCCUCUGAUUACUCUCUCACAACUUACAGUCUUAUGUAACCGUCGGAUCCGCGAGUAACCGGAUCCAAUUCUUAGCCUGGCGCCAUUCCCGAACUCCGAUCGUAUAAUUAUCCGAAUAUUAUUCAGACGGCUAGCGAGUAAAAAUCCGCAUGAGCUCUUGACAAGGCUGUGGAACACGUGGUCAACGGCGGCGGGUUUAGGGCCGCGUUACGUGCGAGAAAUUAUCCCAGGUGCACCCGCGCUCUCCGACCUAGCGCACGCACACGAUCAUCGGCAUGCACGCGCUUCAAGCAGCUCCGACGCGCUCCGGAGAUGCUCAACGCACAACGAUUGCACAACGAGCCCGCUCGAUUGCGGAGCGCGCGUUGCUCUCCAUAAGCCGUCGCCGCCGCCGCCGCCGCCGCCGCCGCCGCCG